AUGCCCUCAUUUUUGCCUCUGCUCUGUAUUUUUCUCAUCCUUUUCUCCUUCAACACUACAACACUCGAAGCAGCGCAAGAAAACAAGUCCGAGACUGAUCACCAAGCCCUCCUUUGCUUCAAGUCUGGCAUCAACUCUUAUCCCCUUGGCAUCCUAAAUUCAUGGAGUGAUGACUCACUGAACUUUUGCAGCUGGAAAGGGGUCAUUUGCAGCACAAAGUUUCCACCCCGGGUGGUCUCUCUUAAUGUCACCUCUGCUCGUCUCAGUGGGAAAAUUUCUGGAUGUGUAGGUAACUUAACGUUUCUGUCAUCGAUGAACCUUGCCGGUAAUGAUCUGUCGGGAACCAUCCCUGAAGAGUUGGGUAAGCUUCCAAACCUUCAUACGCUGAAUCUUGCCAGCAACAGUCUUGGAGGUAACAUCCCUGAUUCCAUAGGCACUAGCAAUUCCCUUAGCUAUGUCAAUCUUGCAAACAACACUCUGACCGGUGGUAUCCCUCUCUCAUUGGCCAAUUGCUCCUCACUCAGCACACUUAUACUGCCACGUAAUAACCUCUCUGGAAUGAUCCCCUCUCCUUUGUUUGAAAACUCAUCUAAGCUUUCUAUGGUUGAUCUCCAGACGAAUUCUUUCAUCGGUCUAAUCCCACACUUCCGUAAUGUAACAACACUCAAAUUUCUUUGCCUGACAGAGAACUUCCUCUCUGGAAGCAUACCUCCCACGAUAGGAAAUGUUUCAUCCCUCACUUCUAUAUUGCUCGGCCAAAAUAGGUUAUCGGGAUUAAUUCCAGAGACUUUGAGUCACAUUACAAAACUGCUUGAGCUUGAUCUAAGUUCCAACAGUUUAUCAGGGAGUGUCCCGUUGUCUCUUUACGACAUGACAUCACUCAAGUACUUUAGGGUAGGCACCAAUGCCCUUGUUGGACAGAUACCAUCUCACAUUGGUUACUCACUACCAAACCUCCAUUCCCUAAUCCUGGGAAGCAACAGGCUGGAGGGCCUGAUCCCUGCUUCACUAGCCAACAUGUUAAAUCUUCAAAUACUUGAUCUUUCAAACAACUCGUUACAUGGCUCUGUGCCAUCUCUUGGUUCGUUGGCAAACUUGCGUCAGUUAGUUUUGGGGAGCAACUUCCUAGAAGCACAUGACUGGUCAUUUCUUAGAUCUCUAGCAAAUUGCACCCAACUGACAAGGUUAUCCUUGGAAGGGAAUGCUCUGAAUGGCAGCCUACCUAUAGCAGUUGUUAAUCUUUCCACAAGUUUACAAAAUUUAUCACUUUCGUCAAACCAAAUUUCGGGCUCCAUACCUGUUGAGAUUAGCAAUCUUGUUAACCUCACUUCCCUUAUGAUGGAAAGCAAUUUUCUUUCUGGAAGCAUACCUUCUACCAUUGGUAAGCUGCAAAACCUAUAUAUCCUAAAUCUAUCAAAGAACAAAUUAUCAGGUCAGAUCCCUCCUUCAGUUGGUGGCAUUACUCAACUGGGCAAGCUUUAUCUUAGUGAUAACAAGUUGACUGGUAACAUACCUGGUAGGUUAGGUCAGUGCAAGGGACUUCUUGAACUAAAUUUGUCUCGAAACAACUUUGAUGGGUCAAUACCACUCGAACUCUUUGCUAACCCUCCAUUCUCCCUCGGUCUGGACUUCUCACACAACAAUCUCACUGGGGAACUGCCACUGGAACUUGGUACAGUUGGUGCUGGUGCUGGUCCAACAUCCCUUCACAUGGAAGGAAACAAGUUUCAUGGACAAAUUCCAGCAAGAUGGCAGUUAGUAUCAACCGUGCAGAUUAAUCUUUCUCACAAUGACUUAUCCGGUGCCGUGCCUGAAUUCUUUGAGCACCUUCAUAUGCUGGAGCAACUUGAUCUAUCUUACAACAACUUGGAAGGGGCUGUUCCUACAAGUGGGAUCUUUGAGAAUUCUACCGCAGUACUUUUGGAUAAUAACAAGGGACUCUGUUCGAAUUCCUCCAGGCUGGCAUUACCAAUUUGUCCUGGCAUAUCAGCUUCAGCAAAUAAAACAAAGCAUCAUUUGUCCUCGCUGGCAACCUUGCUGCUAAUUGUACUACCACCACUUACUAUUGCUUUCCUAGUCUUGCUAUGGUUUCUACCCACUCUUUGGAAGAGAGCGGUAUUCUCACUUUUACAAUUGGCUGCUGUGUCCAAGAAGAUGUUUCGUUUUUUUGCACAUCAGAAGAGAAGAGAAAUGCAUACAGUUCCGUUCAACGAUGAGAAGAAGUUGAAGAGGGUGUCAUAUCAGGACAUUCUUAAAGCUACCAACUGGUUUCUUCGCUUCAUACUAUCAGCUCAACUUGUACUGGAUCAGUUUAUGUUGGUAGGUUCAAGUCCGACAGGAGAUUGGUUGCCAUCAAAGUAUUCAACUUGA
rnacentral:rRNA from 1 species